rnacentral:rRNA from 1 species
UAUCCUGGCUCAGGACGAACGCUGGCGGCGUGCCUAACACAUGCAAGUCGAACGGAGAUAUCCGCUGAUGAAGUACUUCGGUAAUGAUUCUUGGAUAUCUUAGUGGCGGACGGGUGAGUAACGCGUGAGCAACCUGCCUUUCAGAGGGGGAUAACGUUUGGAAACGAACGCUAAUACCGCAUGAUAUUAUUGAGCUGCAUGGCUUGAUAAUCAAAGGAGCAAUCCGCUGAAAGAUGGGCUCGCGUCCGAUUAGGUAGUUGGCGGGGCAACGGCCCACCAAGCCGACGAUCGGUAGCCGGACUGAGAGGUUGAACGGCCACAUUGGGACUGAGACACGGCCCAGACUCCUACGGGAGGCAGCAGUGAGGGAUAUUGGUCAAUGGGGGAAGCCCUGAACCAGCAACGCCGCGUGAGGGAAGACGGUUUUCGGAUUGUAAACCUCUGUCCUCUGUGAAGAUAAUGACGGUAGCAGAGGAGGAAGCUCCGGCUAACUACGUG